UGCAUUAGCUUUUCUAUAACCCAUCUCAUCAGAACUCCACAGUUAAGCGUGUUUGACCUAGAGUAGUAUAAGGAUGGGUGACCUUCUGGGAAGUUUUCCAGAAAAUGUGC
rfam:Cajanus cajan Scaffold135807_1, whole genome shotgun sequence.